UGGGUGGAAACCCAAACCAGUUUUGGUUAGGCGAACAGAGGGGAGCUCCGUUUACUCGAGUCUCCGGGCAGAUAGUGCUGUGCCGUUGGCUCGUGCCGUAGUGGGUCUCAACAACAACUGACAGCUCGACUUACCGAGCAAGGAUUCCCUGGAAAAUCGGCGAGUUUCGCGUUUAGACCCAAUCGACGAUUUUUUUUUCUAAUUUAGCCUAAACCAUCAAAACUCCGGUUUUGAUUUCUUUCUUUCCUGAGGACUACCAUGAGGGCCAUCUAACAUGGACGAAAGUGUUGCGUUGACGUUUAUUGUUUGGAAAAGACAAAGAUAGUGUUAGUGACUCUGCUUUGAACCGUCAGGAUCCGGUGUUGACAGCAAUGCAUGAGAUUCUCACUGUUUGGUUUUGUUCAGGACCUUUGUCAAUCUGUGUUGUCAGUGGAAUGACUAAAAGGGAUGCUGAAGUGUCAAUGGAUUCAUUGUUCUAAUCUUAUCAUUGUAUCUUAUCGAUUCUUUAUUUUUAAAUCGACCGACGUCUAGUCUAUGAAUCGAGAAAGUACCAAAGCAUAGGCUAAAAAGUUUUCUCGGUAAACCCGAUCUCUUGUCGCCGGGUUUUUCCUUAUCGUGACACCUGACGUAUGCCAUACACGGCUCGUGCGUGCUACGAUACAUCUCCACUUUACAUAAUAAACGUUUUUCUGAGAUAUGCUUGAUAAUUAAUGAAAACAUCAUAAUACUUAUCGAUAAGGUCGCAUGCUUCAACUCGCACUAUCCGACGGACAGCGAUAUAGCGUCGAGACACGCGGUUGGUUUCUGUCGUUUAUUUAUUUUUGUAUCACGAACAUUCGUCGAAUAUCUGUUCCUGAAAGACUAUGCCAAAAUACUUUUAUAUCGUAUCGGAGCUUGUGAAAAUGAUCGUAUGAGCUUUGUCGAUGCGUGGAUCGAGGGAUAAUCAAAAAAUGUGAUCGCAAAAACCUCAAAGAGAGAACAUAAAAAGAGUAUCCAAUUCUUGAAUCCCUUUGAUGAGAAAAGAUUGAGACCUCUCCGCAGGAGAGAAGAUCAAUCAUCGAGCUGGUACCAAACAUGGUCCUGGAACCAGGAGGCGGUUUAUCCUUUCCUUUGCCUCCUGGUAGCGGGUCCACUGCAUCCGGCGGCUCGCUUCUGGCACCAGCCAGAUUAUUUCAAAGAGCGACACCAGUAUUCCCGUUUCAUCUUACGGGAUGGCCACCUCAUCAUCCGGUUCUUGGGCAGGUCCAAAGCCAAGUUCAACAGACGAUGCAGGCCCAGCAUCAGGCAGCUGCAGCUGCUGUCAGAUUCCUCAGUCAUCAUCAUCCUCAUCAUCCUCAUCCUGCUUUGGGAAAUCAUCCAUUGGUACCGACGAUCACCGGUCAUCAUCCGGCAGCUCAUCAUCUUCAUCACAACACAGAUCACGGCGAUGAGGACGAUGAGAAAAAAGGCUGCGAUGGCGAAUCCGACGAAGGUGGUAGCAAAAGACGAAGGAGCAGGACUAACUUUAAUAGCUGGCAACUGGAGGAAUUGGAACGAGCCUUCCUGUCGAGUCAUUAUCCCGAUGUAUUUAUGCGGGAAGCUUUGGCAGUCAGACUUGAACUGAAAGAAAGCCGCGUCGCUGUAUGGUUUCAAAAUCGAAGAGCAAAGUGGAGGAAAAAGGAACAUACGAAGAAAGGACCUGGUAGGCCGGCACACAACGCUCAUCCUCAAAGUUGCAGCGGUGAACCGAUACCACCCGAGGAAUUGAGGAGGAAAGAACGUGAAAGGCGGCAAAAAAAAUUGUUGAAAGCUCUUGAGCGACAACAACGAAAACUCGCCGCUAAGGGUAUAACAGUGGACUUGUCGACUUUAAGAGCCGAGUGGGAGUCUCGAACAGCUGCGGCGUCAGGUAGCAAUUCUCUAAGCGGCCAUCUUGGAAAUUCCUUUGGGCAUUUAGGUAGUAACAACGAAAGUAGCAGCGUCUCCGGUUCUGGUAACGACGCUAACGAAGAGAUCGACGUUGUUGGGGGUUUGGAUUCCUGUAGCGAAAGUGGAAGUGAGAGAGUCGAUUCAGCAGCCGACGGUUCCAUUGAUGGGGAGUCUUAUCCAAGAUUGGUUAAUGGCAGUAACGAUCAGACAGAUCAGAGACAGAGCUCGAAUCACGCGAGUACCAAUACACAAAAUCCGAACUCGUCUUUGAGUCUGGAUCAUUUGAAUCAUCAACAAGGUAUUCAUCAUUGGGGUUUGAGUCUUCUCGAGCGAAGACGGGAAUUAGUGAAUAUAUCUGCGGUCCGACAGGCAGCGAAUAAUAGUAACAACAACAAUAACAACAAUAACAAUAACAAUGUUACUCGACUGAUUAGGCAACAAAGUAACGAAGAGGACGUUCAAAGUAGCAGCAUAGACUUGUCCGUGAAGGGUCGCGAGGAGAGGAAAAGGCUGAAUCCAUUUUCUAUCGACAGUCUACUCGGUAACAAUAACAGGACAAGUACACCUGUAAUUAAUCAGAACGAGCAUCGAGCUUCCACACCUACGUUGUCAAAUGGAAGGGAGUCAAGUACUCCGACGUCACCUAUUUCGGUGCCCACUUCGCCGUCCACGACGUAGUGACGUUUCGAUAGUUUAGUCCGAUUUUCUGUAUGUUCAUUUUUGACGAAGUCGAAUGAAGAAAGACGUUGACGUGUCGGUUUCGGACUUUUGAUAUUCUUUCAAUUCAAAUAUCGUGAUCGUCCGAGUAAUUAAACACGUUUAUCAGAAAUUACAAAUGAAUACAGGACUUAUCGGUAACUUCGAUAACUUUUCGCGACCGAAGUAAAUCUUCCAAACUUCCAAAGACUGGGGCUAUCGAGAAAGAAUAAUAAAAAAAAAAAAAAAAGUAUAAAAACAAAACUUCUCAAAGAAGUUACGAGUCUGUAACGUGUUUCCAAGAUAUCACCUAAGGGAUAGACCAACAACAACGAUUUACUUUGACAAAGCGAAGGAAGAGAAAAAAAAACAACGCCUAUAUCAGUUACGACAUAUCUGCAGCGAGUGGACGCCGAUUUGAACGAAGUUUAUCUUUCGCUAGGGCAUACGCGAGGUGAAAGAUAAAUGAAGAGGAGAAUGUGCAAUAAAAUACGAAUGGGUAGUUCGAAAUGACUUCGGUCAAUAAUCGGAACGAUGUCGUGAUCGAUAGUACCGAAGGUAAAAGUGUGAAUCGUGCAUGCGUGGUUCUUUGACGUGUGAUAGUGAUAGAAGAAGAUAGCUAAGAAAAGAUGAUGGAAAGAGGAAAAAUAUCGAAUUAAAUGUGUGCGCGUGUGUGUAUAUGUGUGUACGUGCGAGUGCAUGUGCGUAUGUACGUGUGCGUGUGUGUCCAUACAAGAGAGAAAGAAAGAGAGAAAGACAAAUAGAAAUGAAAGACAAGCAUGUGUAUUUAAUGUAUAUAAUUAGAUCCAAAAUAACGGAGGAUUCACGUUUUAUUUAAUUCACGUAGCUGAUAAAAAGCAAGUGUUCGUCGAAUCGCGGAUAUUAUUUAAAUUUUAAAGCAAUAGAGAUUUCGCCUGGUAUACCUAUGUAUAUAAUAGAAGAACUUAUAAAAGAUCUAGGCAAGCGCGAUAAGCCGAAAUAACGACAAAGGGAUACAGAAAGGGAUGCGUUUUCCUUUGACCCUCAUUCACACAUUCACAUCGAGCAUAAACGUUGGCCGGUGGAAAGUUGUGGGAAAGCGAGGGAGAGAGAGAGAGAAAGAGAGAGAGGGAGAGAGAGAGAGAGAGAGAGAGAGAGAGAGAGAGAAGGAAGGAAUGAGAAGAAUAAAGCGAUGCCAUAAAAUCCAGGAUGCAAGAUAUGACAUGAAGAAAGAGAUGAAAGGGAAUCGACUGAAAUCGUUGUAAAUUUGCUCUCAAUAUGGUGAUGCAAGAAAUAAUCUGUCCAAUCAUUCCAAGUAAAUAAAACUUUUCCAAUUGCAACACGGUAAGUCGGAUAUUUUUAGCAAUGAUUAAAAAUAAUCAGAGUUAGAAAAUUUACAUAAUAGAACGUACAUUAUUUGAAAUUUAUGAAAAAUAAUUGGUAAAAAUGAAAUAAAAUCUUUUUUUCAAGAUACGUUUUUAUUGAACUUAUUUUUUAAUUAGAAUUUUCGAAGAAUUUACCGAUUUUUUGAUCGAAGAAAGAAAAAUUGUUAGUUCAUUAUAAAAGAGAAAGAGUCGAAGCGAAGGAGUAGGAGUAAGAAAAGAUGGCGGAAGACGGCGGUCGUCGUCGUCGCGCGAUUUAUGUGCUUCGCGUGUGUGUUAGUUCGUGCAUGCGCAGCGUUUACGCGCGCGACUGGACGCCUCCUCGACAAAAGGCCAUUGUGCGCAUCGUCGAGCCCUCUGUAAUAUUA